CCAUAUAAUACUGAGCCUGGCUCACAGAUCAGCAAUAUACAACACACCUUCAAACUCCGUCAAUUCUUGUUUGGAUUCGAUGGAUUGGCGGGAGGUCAGGAGGUGGCGCAAGAGUGCAGGUUGGUUGUGGUAGGUCAGUCACGCUGUUGCGCGUCCUUGUGAGUCAUAUCUGGUUGCACAAGCUAUGAAGCAGGAGAUAUCAGCAUACAAACAGGGACCGGAUCAAACAAGGAUGGUUGCGCAAUGCGCAUGACAUGAGGACUGUUAGAGAUGACAACAGGAUGCAGCGAGUUGCUUGUCGGGAGCUCGAUCGCUCACUGUUGCAGCAAUCUCGGAGACAGCUACCGUCAGGAGUGGACGGGCAACGAUGUCGCGCCCGUGGGAUGCAGUGCUUGCUGAGUGCAAGAGUUGCUUGUAGAUUAGCCUCGAUAGUGAUCAGUGACACGAACGCACUGUAUGGAUGUGGGCGCGUGUGUUGUACACGCCUAGCUACUUUGCUACGGUACAAACCGGUACGGAAAUAGAACGAAAUACAUGGUCUGUCAUUUGUUUUAUUUACUCUGUUAUAAACCUAAUUUAGUUUGACGUGGGUAUCAAUAUUUAGAUUGAGAAGGUGUAUAAUAGAUUGAAGAGCAAUUUUAUAGUGAAAAAAGUACAA